GUGCCCGUAGCUCAGUUGGUAGAGCACUCCCCUUUUAAGGGAGUUGUCCUCGGUUCGAACCCGAGCGGGCAUACCA
rnacentral:tRNA from 1 species